rnacentral:rRNA from 1 species
GACAGAGGUGCCGAGCGUUAGGCGGAAUCACUGGGCUUAAAGCGUGUGUAGGCGGGUCGUUAAGUGCCUUGUGAAAUCCCACAGCUCACCUGUGGAACUGCUUGGCAUACUGGCGAUCUUGAGCCACUUAGGGGCAACCGGAACAAACGGUGGAGCGGUGAAAUGCGUAGAUAUCGUUUGGAACGCCAAUGGUGAAAACAGGUUGCUGGGAGUGUGCUGACGCUGAGACACGAAAGCCAGGGGAGCAAACGGGAUUAGAUACCCCGGUAGUCCUGGCCGUAAACGAUGUCGACUAGAUCGUGGCAGCUCUAACGUUGUCACGGUCGAAGCAAAAGUGCUAAGUCGACCGCCUGGGAAGUACGGUCGCAAGGCUAAA